rnacentral:rRNA from 1 species
CGUAGGUGGCAAGCGUUAUCCGGAAUUAUUGGGCGUAAAGACGCGCGUAGGCGGUUUCUUAAGUCUGAUGUAAAAGACCCACGGCUCAACCGUGGAGGGUCGAUUGGAAACUAGGGAAACUUGAGUGCAGAAGAGGAAAGUGGGAUUCCAUGUGUAGCGGUGAAAUGCGCAGAGAUAUGGAGGAACACCAGUGGCGAAAGGCGACUUUCUGGUCUGUAACUGACGCUGAUGUGCGAAAGACGUGGGGGAGUCAAACAGGAUU